CCGGCGACCGGCGCACGGGUGAGUAACACGUAUGGAACCUGCCCGCAGCAGGGGGAUAAGCGGAAGAAAUUCCGUCUAAUACCGCGUAACAACGUUGGGAGGCAUCUCCCGAUGUUUAAAGAUUUAUCGGCUGCGGAUGGCCAUGCGGCGCAUUAGCUAGUCGGCGGGUAACGGACCACCAAGACGACGAUGCGUAGGGGUUCUGAGAGGAAGGUCCCCCACACUGGUACUGAGACACGGACCAGACUCCUACGGGAGGCAGCAG
rnacentral:rRNA from 1 species